rnacentral:rRNA from 1 species
GAUGAACGCUGGCGGCGUGCCUAAUACAUGCCAGUCGAGCGAACGGACGAGAAGCUUGCUUUUCUGAUGUUAGCGGCGGACGGGUGAGUAACACGUGGAUAACCUACCUAUAAGACUGGGAUAACUUCGGGAAACCGGAGCUAAUACCGGAUAAUAUUUUGAACCGCAUGGUUCAAAAGUGAAAGACGGUCUUGCUGUCACUUAUAGAUGGAUCCGCGCUGCAUUGGCUAGUUGGUAAGGUAACGGCUUACCAAGGCAACGAUGCAUAGCCGACCUGAGAGGGUGAUCGGCCACACUGGAACUGAGACACGGUCCAGACUCCUACGGGAGGCAGCAGUAGGGAAUCUUCCGCAAUGGGCGAAAGCCUGACGGAGCAACGCCGCGUGAGUGAUGAAGGUCUUCGGAUCGUAAAACUCUGUUAUUAGGGAAGAACAUAUGUGUAAGUAACUGUGCACAUCUUGACGGUACCUAAUCAGAAAGCCACGGCUAACUACGUG